rnacentral:rRNA from 1 species
UACGAAGGGGGCUAGCGUUGCUCGGAAUCACUGGGCGUAAAGGGUGCGUAGGCGGGUCUUUAAGUCAGGGGUGAAAUCCUGGAGCUCAACUCCAGAACUGCCUUUGAUACUGAGGAUCUUGUGUCCGGGAGAGGUGAGUGGAACUGCGAGUGUAGAGGUGAAAUUCGUAGAUAUUGGGAGGAACACCGGUGGCGAAGGCGGCCAUCUGGGCUGCAACUGACGCUGAGGCGCGAAAGCGUGGGGAGCAAACAGG